CAAAGCUUUUUUUCCACAGUUAUCACUUGUUUUCUCAUUUUCACCGUUCAAAUUAUUCCUGAGACAAAGUAUUAUAGAUUAAAGUGAUCUUGAUGGAUAAAUGGUGAAAGAUUUUAAAGUAAUUUUCUGACCCCAAGAUAUCCGGAAACAAGAAAUCUGUUUUUAUGAAUGAAUUUAGGUGUUCCUGAUAUCAAUCACAUCAUCCUGUUUUGUGGGGGAAAUUUGCUCACUAAAACACUUAGUAUUAUUUUCUAAAAACAUUUGUUUUAUCUUAAAGUAUUUUGCAUCCCAUUCAGAGCUGUACAUUAAACCUGUAUUGUGGACUUGAUUUUUUUUGGUCACAUUUUAUGGUUUUCGAGCUAACUAUUUUUGGCUCGUUAUGAUGUUUAAGCCUGGUAAGUUUUAGUUUAGCACCAGGAUGAAAAGGCAAUCCAGCAGUAUAUGUAAAACAAUUCGUCAGAGUCUUUAUUUGAGUGCAAUGUUUAUACACCAGAAGUGCUGAAAUAAGAUUACUGCCAAAAUAUAAUUUUCUGUGAAAUCAUUCAUUUUCGUGGGGUUUUAUUUUCGUUGUUUUCUUAAUCUGUGCAUUCAUUUGUCCACAAACUGUUAAAAUUGAUAGUAAUAGGUUCAUUUAGCUAUAUUUAUCCACAAAAUUAAGUGUCCAGGGAAGUUUCCUUUUAUUAAAUUUUUUUUUUUUUUUUUGUAAUGACGAAAAUUCAGCUCUGCAAAAAAGUGUGACUUUACAGUAAUAUUGUUAAACCAUGAUUUUCCAUUACGAUGACAUUCAUUACUAAGAUAUAAUUUACCACUGAAAUUCAACGGACUUACAUGUUAUCCAGCAAUCAGCUACAUGAUUUUAAAAAGAAAAAUAUACAAAACUGUACAAGAAGCACUGUAGAAAUUAAAUGAUACAUUGUCAAGCUUUGUGAUCUCACCACUGUAGAGAAUUUGUUACCAUGUAUUUUUUUAUCACCACAUUAUAGAUAAUGUUGAUAGUAUAUAUUGUAUGUAUUUUGAGAACCACUGACAGCUGUGUAGGGGGUACAGGUUGAUCCACUGACAGCUAUGUAGGGGGUACAGGUUGAUCCACUAACAGCUGUGUGGAGGGAACAGGUUGAUCCACUGACAGCUGUGUAGGGGUUACAGGUUGAUACACUGAUAGCUGUGUAGGGGGUACAGGUUGAUCCACUGACAGCUGUGUAGGGGAUACAGGUUGAUCCACUGACAGCUGUGUAGGGGAUACAGUUUGAUCCACUGACAGCUGUGUAGGGGGUAGAGGUUGAUCCACUGACAGCUGUGUAGGGGGUACAGGUUGAUCCACUGACAGCUGUGUAGGGGGUACAGUUUGAUCCACUGACAGCUGUGUAGGGGGUACAGGUUGAUCCACUGACAGCUGUGUAGGGGGUACAGGUUGAUCCACUGACAGCUGUGUAGGGGGUACAGGUUGAUCCACUGACAGCUGUGUAGGGGGUACAGUUUGAUCCACUGACAGCUGUGUAGGGGGUACAGGUUGAUCCACUGACAGCUGUGAAGGGGGUACAGGUUGGUCCACUGACAGCUGUGUAGGGGGGUAGAGUUUGAUCCACUGAGAGCUGUUAGGGGGUACAGGUUGAUCCACUGACAGCUGUGUAGAGGAUACAGUUUGAUCCACUGAGAGCUGUUAGGGGGUACAGGUUGAUCCACUGACAGCUGUGUAGGGGGUACAGGUUGAUCCACUGACAGCUGUGUAGAGGAUACAGUUUGAUCCACUGACAGCUGUGUAGGGGGUACAGGUUGAUCCACAGACAGCUGUGUAGAGGGUACAGGUUGAUCCACUGACAGCUGUGAAGGGUGUACAGGUUGAUCCACAGACAGCUGUGUAGAGGGUACAGGUUGAUCCACUAACAGCUGUGUAGGGGAUACAGGUUGAUCCACUGACAGCUGUGUAGAGGAUAUGGUUUGAUCCACUGACAGCUGUGUAGGGGGUACAGGUUGAUCCACUAACAGCUGUGUAGGGGGUACAGGUUGAUCCACUGACAGCUGUGUAGGGGAUACAAAUCAAUUCAUCAACAACUCCAGCCAUUAUGUAUUAUAUCAAAUAAUUAGUGCAAUGAUUUUUGUUUCUCUGUGUAUUCUGUUUAGUACCUGUAUUACAUGACAUUCCUAUAGAUUUUAAAUCAAUUUCCCAAGGACCAUUGUGUUGUGCUUUUGCUAUUUUGUAGUUAAAUGUAUGGUGUUCCUCUUCUUUUCUUUAUUCAGAAAUACAAUAAAGAAACAAAAAUCGAUACAUAUGAAAAUAAAAUACAUGAAGAAAAGUUUGUGGCAUUGCAUGAUUUCUGUGAAAAAAUCAUUGUUUUUACUGCAAGCUUAUGGUUCAACAUGAAUAUUUGAACCUCCAACAGUAAUUUUUACAAUAUCUAGGAAUUUGGCAACCACAGAAAAAUCUUAUGAUGUGUUCCAUCCAUACCACAGAAAAAUCUUAAGAUGUGUUCCAUCCAUACCACAGAAAAAUCUUAUGAUGUGUUCCAUCCAUACCACAGAAAAAUCUUAAGAUGUGUUCCAUCCAUACUACAGAAAAAUCUUAUGAUGUGUUCCAUCCAUACCACAGAAAAAUCUUAAGAUGUGUUCCAAAUGGAAUAGUAAUACAGUGUAUAUGUUUACUAGCUUACCUGGCCCAAAGGGUUCAGCGAGCAUAUGACAUACUACAGGGUCUGUCAUCUGUCAUCUGUCCUCCAUUUUCAAUUUUUCAAAACUGCUGGGUAAUUUGAACCAGAUUGAAGACAGCAUACACUAUUGACUCAUAUAAAAACUACUUAAGCAAAGUGGAGAUCUAUCCCUUUAAUCAUGACCAUAAAUCAAUAUUGUUGAAUUUUGAAAAGAAAUUGCCACCAGUGUGUACAAGAUGAUACCUUCACACUUUGAUACAAAGAUUAAUUUUCAGUGUGUCAGCAAGAUUUGAAUUUUUUAAGAAUAUGAAAUUCGGUUUAAGAAAAGAACAGAAAUGAUGUAAAAUUUCAAAACUUUUAAGAUUGGUUACAAAAAUAAAAGGAGAUUGUGUAAAAAUGUUUUCAAAAUAAGGGGAAAAAACAUUCUGUUUUAUUUAUUUAUAUUCACCUCAGUUGACUGUAGUAUCGAUAAAUAUUUAUAAUGAAAUACUAAUGAAAGGUAAAACCUCUCUUAAACUCUUGAUUAGAAGGUAGACUAGAUUUGUAACACACAAACAUGUGUUGUUGUAUCGCUACCCUUACAGUUCAUUGAGAUGAUACUUAGAAGUGUAUUAUGAUAUCUUGAAUAACAGUUUAGAUGAAAAAGGAUUUUUUAAAUAUCUCCAAUCAUGUAGCAGAUGUAGAGCAUGUGAUCGUGGGGCACAGUGCUUAAAAUGUGAUGUGAUUAUGAAUAAACUGUAUACAUGCUGAGUAUGGUCUGUUAUACAGAAAUAAGACUACAGGAAUAUUACACAUAUAGAUUACUCAUUUUGAAUACCAUGAAAUAAAAAACUUGUCACAUCAAGAGAUUAAGAUACUAACAUUAGGAAUUUGUUUCAUUGUUAUUUUUCAUUAUGUUUUUAUGUCAUAUCUUGUUUAUAAUAAGAAUAAAUUAAUAAAAAGUACUUGUGUAUAAAA